UAGGGAAUCUUCCGCAAUGGGCGAAAGCCUGACGGAGCAACGCCGCGUGAGUGAUGAAGGUCUUCGGAUCGUAAAACUCUGUUAUUAGGGAAGAUCAAAUGUGUAAGUAACUAUGCACGUCUUGACGGUACCUAAUCAGAAAGCCACGGCUAACUACGUGCCAGCAGCCGCGGUAAUACGUAGGUGGCAAGCGUUAUCCGGAAUUAUUGGGCGUAAAGCGCGCGUAGGCGGUUUUUUAAGUCUGAUGUGAAAGCCCACGGCUCAACCGUGGAGGGUCAUUGGAAACUGGAAAACUUGAGUGCAGAAGAGGAAAGUGGAAUUCCAUGUGUAGCGGUGAAAUGCGCAGAGAUAUGGAGGAACACCAGUGGCGAAGGCGACUUUCUGGUCUGUAACUGACGCUGAUGUGCGAAAGCGUGGGGAUCAAACAGG
rnacentral:rRNA from 1 species